CCUACGGGAGGCAGCAGUAAGGAAUAUUGGUCAAUGGACGCAAGUCUGAACCAGCCAUGCCGCGUGAAGGAUUAAGGCCCUCUGGGUUGUAAACUUCUUUUAUAGGGGACGAAAAAAGGGCAUUCUUGCUCACUUGACGGUACCCUAGGAAUAAGCACCGGCUAGCUCCGUGCCAGCAGCCGCGGUAAUACGGAGGGUGCAAGCGUUAUCCGGAUUUACUGGGUUUAAAGGUGCGUAGGUGGGUUGGUAAGUCAGUGGUGAAAUCUUCGAGCUUAACUCGGAAACUGCCAUUGAUACUAUCAAUCUUGAAUCAUCUAGAGGUAAGCGGAAUAUGUCAUGUAGCGGUGAAAUGCUUAGAUAUGACAUAGAACACCAAUUGCGAAGGCAGCUUACUAUGGAUGCAUUGACACUGAGGCACGAAAGCGUGGGGAUCAAACAGGAUUAGAUACCCUGGUAGUCCACGCCCUAAACGAUGGAUACUCGACAUUUGUGAUAUACAAUAAGUGUCUGAGCGAAAGCAUUAAGUAUCCCACCUGGAAGUACGACCGCAAGGUUGAAACUCAAAUGAAUUGAGGCUGAGAGAGACGAGACGACGACGAGGGAGGAGG
rnacentral:rRNA from 1 species